rnacentral:rRNA from 1 species
CCAGACUCCUACGGGAGGCAGCAGUGGGGAAUAUUGCGCAAUGGGGGCAACCCUGACGCAGCAACGCCGCGUGAUUGAAGAAGGCCUUCGGGUUGUAAAGAUCUUUAAUCAGGGACGAAAAAUGACGGUACCUGAAGAAUAAGCUCCGGCUAACUACGUGCCAGCAGCCGCGGUAAUACGUAGGGUGCGAGCGUUAAUCGGAAUUACUGGGCGUAAAGGGUGUGCAGGCGGCUGAGUAAGACAGAUGUGAAAUCCCCGGGCUUAGCCUGGGAACCGCAUAUGUGACUGCUUGGCUAGAGUGCGUCAGAGGGAGGUGGAAUUCCACGUGUAGCAGUGAAAUGCGUAGAUAUGUGGAAGAACACCGAUGGCGAAGGCAGCCUCCUGGGACGCAACUGACGCUCAGACACGAAAGCGUGGGGAGCAAACAGGAUUAGAUACCCCCGUAA